UUUUUUAAGGAAAAUUUAGCCUUCCAGCAAAGGGAGGCCAAGGAAUUUUCCU
rfam:HIV-1 isolate 02CM.1590LE from Cameroon nonfunctional gag protein (gag) and nonfunctional pol protein (pol) genes, partial sequence; vif protein (vif), vpr protein (vpr), tat protein (tat), rev protein (rev), and vpu protein (vpu) genes, co